rnacentral:lncRNA from 1 species
UACAUUACUUUGAGAUUAGACUUUUCUAACCAAAAUGAAAAUUAAUUUUACAGCUUUCCUAGCUUUUGGAAAUGAAACUACCAGUAGUGCUUCAAAACACACAGCAUCUAUUCUAGGGGAGAACUCCUGCAGUGCCUUGUGGUUCCUCUCCUGUGGUGGACAAUGCUGCUCUUUGUGUCCCUUCAUUCUACAGUAAUGGAAAGAAGGCCAAGAUACAGAUUUUACACAGUCCUUCUGUGAGUGGAAGAAGUUCUGUGGGCUGGGAUCCAGAGUAAGUGGCAGCACACUGCCAAAAUGAGCAGAAACCCACAUGCCAGCAAGAUCCUGAGGGGCUGGGAAAAACUAAUCAGUGGAUUACCUCAGGAAAAUACCACCCCAGUAGCUGAGAAAGGUGAUGGAGAAGAAGCCAGAGAAAUGAAAGGCAUCAACUCUACCAAAGGAGAUUCUGGUGGGCUUUUCUAAGUGGGGGUGCAUGGCAUGCUGCCCAGGCUGGCUGUGCCAGCUCUGUCCUCAGGGUUUCCAGCCCCAGCCAUGUUCAGCCCUGAGGGGUUCAACCUGACCUCAGCUGAACUUGCUGCCAGGGCUGUGCUGCAGAUAUUCUGAGUGCCCCGCCAGGCACAGCUGUCCAGGGAUCCUACAAAUGUCACUGUAUGUAACACUGUAUGUAAAUGUAACCAACUGUAUGUCAGCUUCAACCCUUAGAAACUAAAAUACAAUACUAAGGACACCGUUAUUUUCUGAUGUUUAUAUACUAAAAUGAAAAACUAAGAAAUCAUGUCCUUACAUGUGGGAGUAAAGAUAAUUUAAGGACAUGUUCACAACUUUACCUAACAAAGAUACUUCCAGCUAUAUUCUCCAAUUUUUAAAGAUGAGGGAGUGUGCUAUUUACUAAUAUAAAAGAAGCUGGAUUACUCUUGGAUGGGUAUAACAAAACCUUUCAAACCAAGAGUCUUAUGCCUCACAGGGAGUAAAUAAAGAUGGCUGAAUAACAUUUACA